GAUGAACGCUGGCGGCGUGCUUAACACAUGCAAGUCGAACGGAAAGGCCCAAGCUUGCUUGGGUACUCGAGUGGCGAACGGGUGAGUAACACGUGGGUGAUCUGCCCUGCACUUCGGGAUAAGCUUGGGAAACUGGGUCUAAUACCGGAUAGGACCUCAUUUUGGAUGGUGUGGUGGAGAGUGUUUCGGUGUGGGGUGAGCUCGCGGCCUAUCAGCUUGUUGGUGGGGUAAUGGCCUACCAAGGCGUCGACGGGUAGCCGGCCUGAGAGGGUGUACGGCCACAUUGGGACUGAGAUACGGCCCAGAGUCCUGAGGGAGGCAGGAGUGGGGAAUAUUGGACAAUGGGCGCAGGCGUGAUGCAGAGACGCCGCGUGGGGGGUGAGGGCCUUCGGGUUGUAAAUUCCUUUCGCUAGGGACGCGGCGUUUUUGUGACGGUACCUGGAGAAGAAGCACCGGCUAACUACGUG
rnacentral:rRNA from 1 species